rnacentral:rRNA from 1 species
CUGCUGCCUUCCGUAGGAGUCUGGUCCGUGUCUCAGUACCAGUGUGGGGGACCUUCCUCUCAGAACCCCUACGCAUCGUCGUCUUGGUGGUCCGUUACACCGCCAACUAACUAAUGCGACGCAUGCCCAUCCGCCACCGGAAUCAACCUUUGGCACCAACAGGAUGUCCCGUCGAUGCAUUAUGCCGUAUUAGACGGAAUUUCUCCCGAUUAUCCGGCUGUGGCAGGCAGGUUGCAUACGUGUUACUCA